GAUGAAGAACGUAGCAAAAUGCGAUAAGUAAUGUGAAUUGCAGAAUUCAGUGAAUCAUCGAAUCUUUGAACGCACAUUGCGCCUGCCAGUAGUCUGGCGGGCAUGCCUGUUCGAGCGUCAUUUCAACCCUCAAGCACAGCUUGGUGUUGGGACUCGCGUUAAUUCGCGUUCCCCAAAUUGAUUGGCGGUCACGUCGAGCUUCCAUAGCGUAGUAGUAAAACCCUCGCUACUGGUAAUCGUCGCGGCCACGCCGUUAAACCCCAACUUCUGAAUGUUGACCUCGGAUCAGGUAGGAAUACCCGCUGAACUUAAGCAUAUCAAUAAGCGGAGGA
rnacentral:misc_RNA from 1 species